rnacentral:rRNA from 1 species
CAGCAGCCGCGGGAAUACGAAGGGGGCUAGCGUUGUUCGGAAUUACUGGGCGUAAAGGGCGCGUAGGCGGCCAUUCAAGUUAGAUGUGAAAGCCCUGGGCUCAACCUAGGAAUUGCAUUUGAUACUGGGGAUCUCGAGUUCGGGAGAGGUGAGUGGAACUGCGAGUGUAGAGGUGAAAUUCGUAGAUAUUCGCAAGAACACCAGUGGCGAAGGCGGCUCACUGGCCCGAUACUGACGCUGAGGCGCGAAAGCGUGGGGAGCAAACAGGAUUAGAUACCCGCGUAGUCCCUGUCUCUUAUAC